GGUCUCGAUCUCUUCACCUCGUGAUCCACCUGCCUUGGCCUCCCAAAGUUCUGGGAUUACAGGAGUAAGCCACCACGCCCCACUGUACCUGAUCAUUUACUAAGAACUUUUCCGGUGUUUUUCCUCACAUUUAAUCUUUACUGGGACCUUGUGCAGUAGGUAUUAAAGUCAUUAAAUUUCCAGAUGAAAACAUUGCGGAAUUACAGUACAAGGAUGGUAAAAGAUUUUAUAAUAUUGUCCAUCAAAUAGGGACAACAAUUGAGAUUUGAAUGCAGGUCUAUCUGACUCCAAGUCCAGUGUUCUUCCAGUUCUUCCUAUAUUUAAAUUCUCCUGAAAUUCAACAAAUUAGUUAGUGGCAUGGUUGCCCUUGCUGGGCCACAAUGAUUGGAAUAUUAAUGGAACCACAUGGCUAGCUCCCUGCACUUGUAUCAAGGCCUGUCCAGGUAUAUCUGGAGCCAGUUUCCAAAUUCAAAGGGUUGUCAUGAGAUGUUUUAAUCGCUAUUUUCUCCUUCCUUUUUGAUGUCUUCUUGUUGGCAGUGGUAUAGCCAUUUGUUACGCACCCAAUUAAGUCAGCAAUCUUGUAGUCUUUUGUAGAAUGUGGAAACUUCUCGUUUUAUGCCUUGUGACUCUGCUUCAUGGAACCGACAAGAGAGAUGGCGGAAAAGGUUACAGUCACUCCAUUUCUCUAUUAUCGUCUUCUGCUGAGAGCUUAUCACUAAUUUUGGUGUCAGAGCAACAGUCAUUUUGAGACCUUAUGAAAGCCUACAUACUCCCCAGCAAUGCAGACAGCCCCCCUGACCUUUGCGGCUGCAGAUAAUGGCCAAGGCUGUGGCACAGUGACCUUUAGGCCAAGAGUGGGUGGCAGCACUUUCUUUUCUGUGACAUUCAUUUUGCUUUGCCUCUGUUUGUAUUUUUAAUUGGAAGCGUGUACCGUGUGGAUCUGCCUGGUUCUCCCCCUCCGCCCUGAACUCUGAGCAGAGAGAUUGUGUCUGGCUGGCUCUCGUUAUAAAGGAAUGCUCUCAAUGCCAAGCUGGGGGUCAUUACUAAUUGCCACAGCGACAGACACAAAGGAUAUUACCGGCAAUCUUUCAGGGGGAGAUGCUGUCAGCAGAAGAGGGCCUUUGUCCCACCUGGACCAGCCCAUGUUUCCUUCUCAUAUUCAUUUUACUCCCAUGAUCCCAUGAGAUGAAUCAGGCACUUGAAUUUUUUUUUUUCAAAUGACAUUAUUUAUUGCACCAGAAAUCUUGUCAUCCGAGAGGAACCACAGCCAUUUAGGCCAUCUCUUCAAGCUCCAUCUCCAGUCCUUGUCCUUGAUGAUACUGUUUGCUGCAGACUCACCCCACAUCCUUCAUUUCCCUUCCAGGCUGCAGACAGCUUGAGCCUAUUCUAAAGGUCUCAUUAUUUAUUCUACUUAGUUCUUUAUUAUUUGCUAACUAUAAAAUAUUCCCAGGUUGCUUUCUGUAUGUUCAUCUUGUUUCCUCAGAUAGCUUUUUUUCACUACUUGUCAAAGCGAAGCUGACUAUGAAAAUUUCAUAAGCACCUACGGUGUGCCAGGACCUAUGGAAACCCACUGGAGCCACAGGGGCCUUUGAGACGCACCUCACUAGCCCUGAAGAGAUUCUUCCCUUUGUGUGCAAGAUGCCUCCUCCUCUAUUCUCAGGCCAUCCACAUCCCACCAACCCUGAUGGGCCCAACUGAAAUCCCACCUCCUCAACAAAACCAUCCUUGUGUACAUGUUUCUUCCCAGCUCCACAUUCAGAGACAUCGCAAUGGUAGCUUGAAAUCAAUCACUGUAGGAAUAUUUACACCACAGAAAUUGGCAAACAUUGCAAAUCAGACCCUUAUCUUCGCUGUUGUUUUGCAGGCUGGUUUAUCAGCACAUCACUGCUCAUACCUAAAGCCCCACCACUCGUUUGGCCCCAACAAUUAAAACCAUACUUUGGCCAUGUUUUAUGAUGUGCCCAUGCUUGUCUCUCAGUGGAGACUGUAGGAGGAUCAUCAAGUUAUUUGUAUCUCCACAGCAUCAUCAUGGUACCUCGUAAAUAGCAAGUAUUGUCCAAUAUCUGUAUCUGUCAAUGUUGUCCGUUUCAUCUAUUAAUAUUUGGGGUGUACUUUUUCCCUAAAAGUUUUCAGAUGAUAUCCAAUUGGCUAUAAGUGAAUGUUUCAAAGAGCUACUUGUCUGUCAUGCCUUUCUUCAUUCAACCAUUUAUUUAUACCAGUGAGCAUUUGCUAUGUGUCAGGCAUUAGUUCAAAGGCAAGAGUACUCAGAGGUAAUCAUAACAUAGGAGGUCUCUGCCCUAGGGGAGCUCACAUUCUAGUCAGGAGAGACAGAAAAUACACAAGUAAACAAAUCCACAAAGAAAUUAGAAACAGUCUGAUAGCAGCAAAGGAUACAAAAAGAAGAACCCAGAAGGAUGGAAUAGAGGAGCUGGGGCAUGGGUGGGGCACAGUCUCAGGUUGGGAGGUAUAUUGAUUUCCUAUUGCUGCUAUAACAAAUAACCACAAAUGUUUUGGCUUAGAACAAUAUGAAUGUAUUCUGUCAUUGUCCUAGAGGUCACAAGUCUAAAAUUGGUUGUGAUAUGGUUUGGAUUUAUGUCCCGGUCCAAAUCUCAUGCUGAAUGAUAACCCCCUUUGUUGGAGUAGGGGCCUAGUGGGAGGUGAACAGAUUAUGAGUGGAUUUCCCUCUUGCUAUUCUCACGAUAGUGAGUGAGUUCUCAUGAGAUCUGGUUGUUUAAAAGUGUGUGGCAUCUCCCCCUUCACUCUCUCUCUCUCCUGCUCCACCACGUAAGACGUACCUGCUUCCCCUUCACCUUUUGCCAUGAUCGUAAGUUUCCUGAGGCCUCCCCAGCCAUGCUUCAUGUACAGCCUGUGGAACCAUGAGCCAAUUAAACCCCCUCUCUUUAUAAAUUACGCAGUGUCAGGUAGUUCUCUGUAGCAAUGUGAGAAAGGACUAACACAGGUUGGAGUCCUGCAUUCCUUCUGAAGGCUUCAGGGAAGAAUCGUAUCUUGGGCUUUUCCAGCUCCUGGAAGCCACCUGCAUUCCUUGGCUCAUGGCCCUGCAUCUCUCCAAUUUCUGCUUCUGUCAUCACACCUCCCUCUCUGACUCCCCUUCCUCCCUCUUUUUCCCUUAUGAGGACUCUUGUGAUCAUAUGGGGCCCACAUGGAUAACCCAGGAUCAUCUCCCCAUCUCAAAAUUCUUCCUCCUUUGAGUCUCUUUUGCCAUGUAAGGUAGCAUAUUCACAGGUUCCAGGGAUUAGGAGGUGACAUCUUUGGGGGCCAUUAUUCUUCCUACCACAGGAGGUGAGGGAAGGCUUCUCCCAGGAGCUGCCACUUGAGAGGAGACCCACACGACAAAAACAGAUGAGGGGGACAGGCUGCAAAGAUCCUGGACCUGGCAGAAGCCUGCAGAUUCUGAGGAAAAUGCCAGCAUGACUGAAGUGAGCAGCAAGCGGGGGCUGGAGGGGGAGGCAGGGCCCAGGUCCCUCUGCAUUGCGGGAGCCAGAGAAGGAGCGCAGAUUUCAUUCUGAGUGCAGUGGAACGUGGGCAGAGGGCUGGAGAGUUGUGUUCUCACUGGGCUAACUUGUACAUGGAUGAAGACAGUUUCUCUGGCAGUUGUUUAGAGCAGUGCUGUCUGGUAGAAAUACAAUGUAAUCAGAUUUGUCAGUUUAGAUGUUCUAGUAGCCACAUGUUAAGAAGUAAAAGGAAACAGCUGAAAUUAACCUUAAUAAAACAUUUUAUCUUUACCCAAUCUA